AAGGGAGACCUAAUUCCGGUAGGAGACGAAAAAAAAGUAGUCCCUACCAAGAAUCAAUCCCAAAAGGUCAAAGCGAGGCAAGAUUGGCUUUCAAACUAGGUUCUGGGUUCAAACAAGACCUGAAUCAGGAACAAGGGCUAUUAGCUCAGGUGGUUAGAGCGCACCCCUGAUAAGGGUGAGGUCCCUGGUUCGAGUCCAGGAUGGCCCACCUGCACAGGUGGCAAAAACAAAGAAGCGAGGAAUCAGCACCUUAUCUUACUCAUAUAGUAAGAGAGAAUGCUGGCUCUGAGUAAAGAGUCCAGAGGAACCUUGAAAACUGCAUAGAGCUAGGUGAAAAAGCCAAAAAAGAAGACCGCAA
rnacentral:tRNA from 1 species